AUGGGAACAUUAGCAUCCUCCUUCAUUCGAUGCUGUUUUGGAGCACUCUCAUUUAUAUUGGACUUGUCAUAAGCGAGGCUCCCAGCUAAGUAUUCACCUGAUUAACGCAUAAAAGCAUUUGGAGAUGAAAUGAAAAAUGCAAAUAUAUGCACAUUGAAGCAUGCACUGAAUAAGAUAUGGACAAGAUUAACGUAUAUUUUCUGUUUAACUAUAAUAUGGAGAUCUAAAAAGACCAAAAUGCAUUU
rnacentral:lncRNA from 1 species